UCCCUGGUGGUCCAGUGGUUAAGAUGCUGCACUUACAAUGCAGGGGAUACAGGUUCAAACCUUGGUCAGGGAA